rnacentral:rRNA from 1 species
CCUACGGGAGGCCGCAGUGGGGAAUAUUGCACAAUGGGGGAAACCCUGAUGCAGCGACGCCGCGUGAGUGAAGAAGUAUUUCGGUAUGUAAAGCUCUAUCAGCAGGGAAGAAGCAAGACGGUACCUGACUAAGAAGUCCUGGCUAACUACGUGCCAGCAGCCGCGGUAAUACGCAGGGGGCGAGCGUUAACCGGAUUUACUGGGUGUACAGGGAGCGUAGGCGGUUUGGCAAGUCUGAAGUGAAAGCCCAGGGCUUAACCCUGGGAUGGCUUUGGAAACUGUUAGACUAGAGUGCUGGAGAGGUAGGUGGAAUUCCGAGUGUAGCAGUGAAAUGCGUAGAUAUUAGGAGGAACACCAGUGGCGAAGGCGGCUUACUGGACAGUAACUGACGUUGAGGCUCGAAAGCGUGGGGAGCAAACAGGAUUAGAUACCCUGGUAGUC